rnacentral:rRNA from 1 species
CCUACGGGUGGCAGCAGUGAGGAAUAUUGGUCAAUGGGCGGAAGCCUGAACCAGCCAAGUCGCGUGAGGGAUUAAGGCCCUGCGGGUCGUAAACCUCUUUUGCCGGGGAGCAGAGGUCCGGACGUGUCCGGGCCGGGAGAGUACCCGGAGGAAAAGCAUCGGCUAACUCCGUGCCAGCAGCCGCGGUAAUACGGAGGAUGCGAGCGUUAUCCGGAUUUAUUGGGUUUAAAGGGUGCGUAGGCGGGCAUUUAAGCCGGCGGUCAAAUGUCGGGGCUCAACCCCGGCCUGCCGUCGGAACUGGGUGCCUUGAGUGGGCGAGAAGUAUGCGGAAUUCGUGGUGUAGCGGUGAAAUGCUUAGAUAUCACGAAGAACCCCGAUUGCGAAGGCAGCCUGCCGCAGCGUUACUGACGCUGAAGCUCGAAAGCGCGGGUAUCGAACAGGAUUAGAUACCCCAGUAGUC